rfam:Heterorhabditis bacteriophora unplaced genomic scaffold Scaffold1287, whole genome shotgun sequence.
AUCGCUUCUCGGCCUUUUGGCUAAGAUCAAAGUUUAGUUUCUGUUCUUAUCGAAUUAACCUUCGAUAGAGUCUCAAAUGAGUCUCGAUAAGGUUAUUUGAUUUUUGGAUCUGGGUAAGAUCAGGGGCUUGCUCCUACUUGCCACGGGUCGUCCCAGCGUUGCACUGCUGCUGGGAACGGCCCUCCCCAA